rnacentral:rRNA from 1 species
GCGGUUAUACUUUGAGGCUAAACGAAAUAUAUUAGAGUUAGUUAGGUGAAAAGGAUGUAAAUAAAUUAUUAGUAGUAAAAGGUGAAAUUAGAUUGUUAUUAAAUAAUUAAAAUAUAUCAAAACUGAAGCUAAAAAAGUUUGAUUAAAGACUAGGAUUAGAUACCCUAUUAUUUUAAAUUUAAAUAUUAAUAAACUCUAGAUAAGUAGUAGAUAGGUACUUAAAAAUUAAAAAAUUUGGCGGUGAUUUAAUCUUUUCAGAGGAACUUGUUUUUUAAUCGAUAAACCACGUUUAAUCUUACUUAUUUUGGUAUAAACAGUAUGUAUACCAUCAUUAACAGGUAAUUUUAAAAGAAAAAAUUACUAAAAAUAAUUAAUUAAAAAAAUUAGAUCAUGGUGCAGCUUAUAAAUAAGGUAAAAUGAGUUACAAUAAAGUUUUUUAUAUGAAUUAGUAAAGGAAGAGUUUACUAUAAAGGUGGAUUUGAUUGUAAAUGUGGAUUAAUAAGCUUAUUUGAUAUUGGUGCUAAAUCAUGUACAUAUCGCCCGUCGCUUUC